rnacentral:tRNA from 1 species
ACAAUUGUAGUUUAAUGGUAGAACAUCGGUCUCCAAAACCGAAGGUGGGGGUUCAAAUCCCUCCGAUUGUGCAA